CCACCGGUCAUCCUUUUUUAUUUCUAGUGAGACACAUUGAUUUUGUAUAUUCAUUUUUAUUUUAUACAUUGUGUUACGCCCCUAUCUGAACCACCUCGAAAUCUCCACCACCACGCACUCCAAUCUACUAGACACCUACCCGAAGUGAUUCUGAAGUGAUCUUCCCAAUGUCAACGAUCUGCUAUCACACUGCUAGACAUAGACGAUCCUGCCGAACUGACCGAAGUGCCCUCGCCCAUGAUGCCGAGGCAAAGUGCACUCUGGGGACCUCUGUCAGAAGAUACGUCGUCAAUUUCAGAAGGAGAUCUUUGCCGAGAUCAUUUCUGCCCCUAAGGUUUAAAUUGAUUUGACGUCUCCAUGAGGCUAGUUGAUGUGAUUUAUCAACUUUAUGUCAACUCAACUCGGGAGAAGCAGUUACCCGCCCACUCUACAGACGCGGCUGAUUGACGCCUAUGAGCAGACGCCUCAUACCGUCAGAUAUAUACACGUGCCCCACAUCCAACGAUUCAUCUCACCUAUAAAUACCCAAGGGUUGACAAGAGGUAAAGGUAAUGAAACUCUUAUUAGAUAGCACUCCAUAACAAGCAUAUAUAUAUUUUCUCUCCUCCCCUUUAUUAUUUUACACAACCCCUGGAUACUGUUCCGACCACCUGAACCUGACUUGACCGUUGGAGUGUAUACAGCAGCCACCACCCCCGCUGGUCCCGACCGUGUGCGUCUAACCAUGCGUUGAUUGUGCGCAGAGAGGAAUAAGUGGAGUAGUUCUCGGUUGGCCACGUGGAAGGUCCAAUUUUUGAGGUCAACAGAUUGCGCCGUCUGUAGGAAAUAUUUUCUGUUCAAAGUUCUGCAUUCUCCACCGGAGAGAUCACCGGAAAACUAGUGACUAACCCUGAAAAGGGCACGUUCUUGAAAAAGAACAAAAUCGAGUUAUAAUCCAAGUUCUCACCACCCUUGAAAAAGGAGAUAGAAUGAGUUAUAGCCAUGAAGACGAUAACCCCAUGAGAGAGGCAUCUGAAGAGGAGGUGUUCCAUAACAAUGUUAACCACCAGAGACCCCAUCACCGGCGUCGCCGAGGUGAAAGAACAGCCAUGCUCACUGAAGGAAUGACUCAAAUAGCUGUGGGCAUGAGAGACAUCGCAGCUCAGAAUAUGGCGAUGCAUGAACUUCUCAUCCAAGCUCGAGGUCACCAGGGCUCUCAAAUGCCCCAAGGAUCUUACCCAGUGCAGGAAGCCCUAGUAUCUCGUUCUCGAGACCACAACAGUCAGCACAGAGAACGUUCCCUCGAAAGAGAAGCGGAUGCCGAAGCCACAUCUUAUGUGCAAGGGAACCAGCCAUCAGAAUCACACUUGGGGGACAAUUACCCAAAAAAAAAAAGAGGAACAGAGGUCGAUAAGCGUCUUCGACCGGAUUGGGGAGGAUCCUAGCAAUAGGGUCUGCCCAGUGAGAACAUCAGUUCAGCCAGACCAGGAGCAAGAAUAGGCUCCUCCUCUUCCUAGAAAUAGGAGGGACAGGAGGAACCUAGUCGAUUGGGGGCGUCGAGGAGAAGCACCUCCAUCUCCUCAGAACAUUCAAGAUGAUGAAGGGUCAGAGGGGCCCUGUCGUUCUUAUGAGAUUGACGACGAUGAUGAUAACCUCCCUUUCUCAAGGGAAAUCCGAAGCUUUCCAAUGCUAGCAAAUUUCAUGCCCCCCUAAGAUCCCCAAGUAUGAAGGAAAUGGGGACCCGGAGAAGCACCUCACCAAGUAUAUGACACAAAUGAGUCUCAGGGGAGCCUCGCCUGCUUUGAAAUGCAGAGCCUUCCAUUUAACACUAGGCGGAGCCAUCGAAGUGUGGUACAACAGGCUUCCUCCCCUAAGCGUUAGAAGUUGGCCAGAUUUGAAGAAGACAUUCUUGAAUCAGUACCUCUCGCGAAGAGAAGAAGAGGCCCCAGUGCAACGCCUGCAAGACAUGAG
rnacentral:lncRNA from 1 species